rnacentral:piRNA from 1 species
UACUAUAGGAAUGGUCAAAACUUGACCUGGGC